CCUACGGGAGGCAGCAGUGGGGAAUAUUGCACAAUGGGGGAAACCCUGAUGCAGCGACGCCGCGUGAAGGAAGAAGUAUUUCGGUAUGUAAACUUCUAUCAGCAGGGCAGAAAAUGACGGUACCUGACUAAGAAGCACCGGCUAACUACGUGCCAGCAGCCGCGGUAAUACGUAGGGGGCAAGCGUUAUCCGGAUUUACUGGGUGUAAAGGGAGCGUAGGCGGGGAUGAAAGUCAGAAGUGAAAGCCCGAGGCUCAACUGCGGGACGGCAUUUGAAACUGUAUGACUAGAUUGCAGGAGAGGUAAGUGGAAUUCCUAGUGUAGCGGUGAAAUGCGUAGAUAUUAGGAGGAACACCAGUGGCGAAAGCGGCUUACUGGACUGUAAAUGACGCUGAGGAUCGAAAGCGUGGGGAGCAAACGGGAUUAGAUACCCGAGUAGUC
rnacentral:rRNA from 1 species